CAGAGCAAUCUGUGUGACUGCGUACCUUUUGUAUAAUGGGUCAGCGACUUAUAUUCUGUAGCAAGGUUAACCGAAUAGGGGAGCCGAAGGGAAACCGAGUCUUAACCGGGCGUUAAGUUGCAGGGUAUAGACCCGAAACCCGGUGAUCUAGCCAUGGGCAGGUUGAAGGUUGGGUAACACUAACUGGAGGACCGAACCGACUAAUGUUGAAAAAUUAGCGGAUGACUUGUGGCUGGGGGUGAAAGGCCAAUCAAACCGGGAGAUAGCUGGUUCUCCCCGAAAGCUAUUUAGGUAGCGCCUCGUGAAUUCAUCUCCGGGGGUAGAGCACUGUUUCGGCAAGGGGGUCAUCCCGACUUACCAACCCGAUGCAAACUGCGAAUACCGGAGAAUGUUAUCACGGGAGACACACGGCGGGUGCUAACGUCCGUCGUGAAGAGGGAAACAACCCAGACCGCCAGCUAAGGUCCCAAAGUCAUGGUUAAGUGGGAAACGAUGUGGGAAGGCCCAGACAGCCAGGAUGUUGGCUUAGAAGCAGCCAUCAUUUAAAGAAAGCGUAAUAGCUCACUGGUCGAGUCGGCCUGCGCGGAAGAUGUAACGGGGCUAAACCAUGCACCGAAGCUGCGGCAGCGACACUGUGUGUUGUUGGGUAGGGGAGCGUUCUGUAAGCCUGUGAAGGUGUACUGUGAGGUAUGCUGGAGGUAUCAGAAGUGCGAAUGCUGACAUAAGUAACGAUAAAGCGGGUGAAAAGCCCGCUCGCCGGAAGACCAAGGGUUCCUGUCCAACGUUAAUCGGGGCAGGGUGAGUCGACCCCUAAGGCGAGGCCGAAAGGCGUAGUCGAUGGGAAACAGGUUAAUAUUCCUGUACUUGGUGUUACUGCGAAGGGGGGACGGAGAAGGCUAUGUUGGCCGGGCGACGGUUGUCCCGGUUUAAGCGUGUAGGCUGGUUUUCCAGGCAAAUCCGGAAAAUCAAGGCUGAGGCGUGAUGACGAGGCACUACGGUGCUGAAGCAACAAAUGCCCUGCUUCCAGGAAAAGCCUCUAAGCAUCAGGUAACAUCAAAUCGUACCCCAAACCGACACAGGUGGUCAGGUAGAGAAUACCAAGGCGCUUGAGAGAACUCGGGUGAAGGAACUAGGCAAAAUGGUGCCGUAACUUCGGGAGAAGGCACGCUGAUAUGUAGGUGAAGUCCCUCGCGGAUGGAGCUGAAAUCAGUCGAAGAUACCAGCUGGCUGCAACUGUUUAUUAAAAACACAGCACUGUGCAAACACGAAAGUGGACGUAUACGGUGUGACGCCUGCCCGGUGCCGGAAGGUUAAUUGAUGGGGUCAGCGCAAGCGAAGCUCUUGAUCGAAGCCCCGGUAAACGGCGGCCGUAACUAUAACGGUCCUAAGGUAGCGAAAUUCCUUGUCGGGUAAGUUCCGACCUGCACGAAUGGCGUAAUGAUGGCCAGGCUGUCUCCACCCGAGACUCAGUGAAAUUGAACUCGCUGUGAAGAUGCAGUGUACCCGCGGCAAGACGGAAAGACCCCGUGAACCUUUACUAUAGCUUGACACUGAACAUUGAGCCUUGAUGUGUAGGAUAGGUGGGAGGCUUUGAAGUGUGGACGCCAGUCUGCAUGGAGCCGACCUUGAAAUACCACCCUUUAAUGUUUGAUGUUCUAACGUGGACCCGUGAUCCGGGUUGCGGACAGUGUCUGGUGGGUAGUUUGACUGGGGCGGUCUCCUCCUAAAGAGUAACGGAGGAGCACGAAGGUUGGCUAAUCCUGGUCGGACAUCAGGAGGUUAGUGCAAUGGCAUAAGCCAGCUUGACUGCGAGCGUGACGGCGCGAGCAGGUGCGAAAGCAGGUCAUAGUGAUCCGGUGGUUCUGAAUGGAAGGGCCAUCGCUCAACGGAUAAAAGGUACUCCGGGGAUAACAGGCUGAUACCGCCCAAGAGUUCAUAUCGACGGCGGUGUUUGGCACCUCGAUGUCGGCUCAUCACAUCCUGGGGCUGAAGUAGGUCCCAAGGGUAUGGCUGUUCGCCAUUUAAAGUGGUACGCGAGCUGGGUUUAGAACGUCGUGAGACAGUUCGGUCCCUAUCUGCCGUGGGCGCUGGAGAACUGAGGGGGGCUGCUCCUAGUACGAGAGGACCGGAGUGGACGCAUCACUGGUGUUCGGGUUGUCAUGCCAAUGGCACUGCCCGGUAGCUAAAUGCGGAAGAGAUAAGUGCUGAAAGCAUCUAAGCACGAAACUUGCCCCGAGAUGAGUUCUCCCUGACCCUUUAAGGGUCCUGAAGGAACGUUGAAGACGACGACGUUGAUAGGCCGGGUGUGUAAGCGCAGCGAUGCGUUGAGCUAACCGGUACUAAUGAACCGUGAGGCUUAACCUUACAACGCCGAAGGUGUUU
rnacentral:rRNA from 1 species